rnacentral:rRNA from 1 species
AUUGAACGCUGGCGGCAGGCCUAACACAUGCAAGUCGAGCGGAUGAAGGGAGCUUGCUCCUGGAUUCAGCGGCGGACGGGUGAGUAAUGCCUAGGAAUCUGCCUGGUCGCGGGGGAUAACGUCCGGAAACGGGCGCUAAUACCGCAUGCGUCCUGAGGGCGAAAGUGGGGGAUCUUCGGACCUCACGCUAUCAGAUGAGCCUAGGUCGCAUUACCUAGUUGGUGGGGUAAAGGCUUACCAAGGCGACGAUCCGUAACUGGUAUGAGAGGAUGAUCAGGCACCCUGGCAGAGAGACACGGCCCAGACUCCUACGGGGAGAAGCGGUGGGGAAUAUUAGAGGAUGGGGGAGAGCCGGAUCCAGCGAAACCGCGGGAGUGAAGAAGGUGUCAGGAUGGGAGAAUGCUGUAAGUUGGGAGGAAGGAAAGUAAGUUAAUACCUGGCGGUUUUGACGGUACCAGGAGAAGAAGCACCGGCUAACUUCGUG